ensembl:snRNA U6 U6 spliceosomal RNA
UGCUGCCGAAGCUUCAGUAUUACUAAAAAACUGGAAUGAUACAGAGAAGAUUAGCAUGGCCCCUAAAAAAGAGCACCAGUCAAACCACAGAUGAAAAUACUGUUACU